rnacentral:rRNA from 1 species
AACGAACGCUGGCGGCAUGCCUAACACAUGCAAGUCGAACGAAGGCUUCGGCCUUAGUGGCGCACGGGUGCGUAACGCGUGGGAAUCUGCCCUUUGGUUCGGAAUAACAGCUGGAAACGGCUGCUAAUACCGGAUGAUGACGAAAGUCCAAAGAUUUAUCGCCAGAGGAUGAGCCCGCGUUGGAUUAGGUAGUUGGUGGGGUAAAGGCCUACCAAGCCGACGAUCCAUAGCUGGUCUGAGAGGAUGAUCAGCCACACUGGGACUGAGACACGGCCCAGACUCCUACGGGAGGCAGCAGUGGGGGAUAUUGGACAACGGGCGGAAGCCUGAUCCAGCAAUGCCGCGUGAGUGAUGAAGGCCGUAGGGUUGUAAAGCUCUUUUACCCGGGAAGAUAAUGACGGUACCGGGAGAAUAAGCCCCGGCUAACUCCGUG